CAAACAGUACAUUAUUUGCCUGGGAAAACCCUGACGAACUUCCGGCAAAUUUGACAUUUGCUCUGGAAGUCCGUCUGGCCAAGAGCCCAUUUCCAAU